rnacentral:rRNA from 1 species
CCUACGGGAUGCAGCAGUGGGGAAUAUUGGGCAAUGGACGCAAGUCUGACCCAGCAACGCCGCGUGAAGGAAGAAGGCUUUCGGGUUGUAAACUUCUUUUAAGGGGGAAGAGCAGAAGACGGUACCCCUUGAAUAAGCUACGGCUAACUACGUGCCAGCAGCCGCGGUAAUACGGUGGGGGCAAGCGUUGUCCGGAUUUACUGGGUGUAAAGGGCGUGAAGCGGGAGAGACAAGUCAGAUGUGAAAUCCACGGGCUCAACCCGUGGACUGCAUUUGAAACUGUUUCCCUUGAGUGGCGGAGAGGUAAUCGGAAUUCCUUGGGUAGCGGUGAAAUGCGUAGAUAUAAGGAAGAACACCAGUGGCGAAGGCGGAUUACUGGACGAUAACUGACGGUGAGGCACGAAAGCGUGGGGAUCAAACAGGAUUAGAUACCCCGGGUAGUC